AGCGAACGCUGGCGGCAGGCCUAACACAUGCAAGUCGAACGGAUCCUUCGGGAUUAGUGGCGGACGGGUGAGUAACACGUGGGAACGUGCCCUUUGGUUCGGAACAACUCAGGGAAACUUGAGCUAAUACCGGAUGUGCCCUUCGGGGGAAAGAUUUAUCGCCAUUGGAGCGGCCCGCGUCUGAUUAGCUAGUUGGUGGGGUAAAGGCCCACCAAGGCGACGAUCAGUAGCUGGUCUGAGAGGAUGAUCAGCCACAUUGGGACUGAGACACGGCCCAAACUCCCACGGGAGGCAGCAGUGGGGAAUCUUGCGCAAUGGGCGAAAGCCUGACGCAGCCAUGCCCCGUGAAUGAUGAAGGUCUUAGGAUUGUAAAAUUCUUUCACCGGGGACGAUAAUGACGGUACCCGGAGAAGAAGCCCUGGCUAACUUCGUGCCAGCCGCCGCAGUAA
rnacentral:rRNA from 1 species